ACUCUCGCUCUUUUCCCGACUCUCUCUCUCUCUCUCUCUCUCUAUUUGGGUAGUGUCGAGGGAAGAAAUCAAAUCGGAACACUCCACCGGCAACAUCGGUUCAUCAAAUCCGUCUGUUGAUCUAAUUCGUCGUUAUCAUUAUCUCCGGGGUUUAGGGUUGCUCAAAUCCGUCGUUAUCAUCAAAUCUUGUGGUUAAAUGAUGCUUCAAUCUGUUUAUAUUGGUGGAGACCAUUGUAAUCAAAAGCUAUAGGAAAGCUUGAUGAUCUUGACGAAGAGCUUAACACUUACUCAACGAGGCUUCCUGAAUUGUACAAUUUGCAUUUUCCUGAGCUUGCUAAGAUCGUACAUGACAAAAUCCAAUUAUGUCAAAGGCUGUAAAGCUAAUGGGGAAUCGGAUUAACGCACCAAAGCUAGACUUGUCUGAGAUAUUGACUGAUGAAGAUGAAGCAAAACUAAAACAAGCUGCUGUGAUAUCUAUGGGAACUCAAGCCGGCUAAAAGCAAAUCAAGAAAUGCAUUUCCGUAUACUCUUUGACUCUUGAGAAUGAUGCCUUCCAGGAAACAGCAAUCCAGACUCUUCUUCAACUUAAAUACUCAGAGCCUCAGAUUCUCAAAAAGUUCUGCGGGUUGGAAGGAGCCUUAGAGAGAAGGAAGCUGCAGCUGGAGGAAUCAAUGGCGGAUGAAUACAAAGAGAGACUAUGCUGCAGAUGUGGAGAGCCUUCGUGGUGAAGUGGAACUGAUCGUCUACCAAAAGCUAGGACUUUUAUGAACCAUGAUCAGUAAGAAAGCAACUCCCUGUGCUUUAAUUUCUGGUUGGAAAACCUUUAGCUUUAGCAGUUGUAGAAAAAUCUAACUGUCUUAAAGAUAGAGUUGAAGAUGUGUAACUUAGGCGGAUCUUACUGAUCCAUUAAAUUUUGCAUGUUAUUGCCUUGACUUAAGAGGUUUUCUUCCCCACGUCUAGUUUCAUAUCGUGUUUGAUCUUUUAUGUAUAGUAUCAACUUCCACUAUUUGUUUGAUUCGUGCUCCAUGUUAAAUGAAAGAGUUGCAGAAACGUACACUUUAGUGAUCA